rnacentral:rRNA from 1 species
CCUACGGGAGGCAGCAGUGGGGAAUAUUGCACAAUGGGGGAAACCCUGAUGCAGCGACGCCGCGUGAGUGAUGAAGUAAUUCGUUAUGUAAAGCUCUAUCAGCAGGGAAGAAAAUGACGGUACCUGAGUAAGAAGCCCCUGCUAACUACGUGCCAGCAGCCGCGGUAAUACGUAGGGCGCAAGCGUUAUCCGGAUUUACUGGGGGGAAAGGGAGCGUAGACGGUAGUGCAAGUCUGGAGUGAAAGGCGGGGGCUCAACCCCCGGACUGCUCUGGAAACUGUACGGCUGGAGUGCAGUAGAGGUAAGUGGAAUUCCUAGUGUAGCGGUGAAAUGCGUAGAUAUUAGGAGGAACACCAGUGGCGAAGGCGGCUUACUGGACUGUAACUGACGUUGAGGCUCGAAAGCGUGGGGAGCAAACAGGAUUAGAUACCCCAGUAGUC